rnacentral:rRNA from 1 species
CAGUCAGCAGCUAGCUCUCUGCAACUCUUGCAUGGUUGCCCACGGAAGCUUAGCAGGGCUGUGCCCGGACAGUACCUGGAUGGGAGACCACAUGGGAAUACAAGGUUGCUGUCGGA